AAAUGAAUUGACGGGGGCCCGCACAAGCGGAGGAACAUGUGGUUUAAUUCGAUGAUACGCGAGGAACCUUACCCGGGCUUGAAAUGCACCUGACUUCCCCAGAGACGGGGAUUCCCUUUCAGGGCAGGUGCGUAGGUGCUGCAUGGUUGUCGUCAGCUCGUGCCGUGAGGUGUCGGCUUAAGUGCCAUAACGAGCGCAACCCUCAUCGUUAGUUACCAUCAGGUUAUGCUGGGGACUCUAGCGAGACUGCCAUCGUAAGAUGCGAGGAAGGUGGGGAUGACGUCAAAUCAGCACGGCCCUUACGUCCGGGGCGACACACGUGUUACAAUGGGUGGUACAAAGGGCAGCUACAUGGCGACAUGAUGCUAAUCUCCAAACCCACUCUCAGUUCGGAUCGGAGUCUGCAACUCGACUUCGUGAAGCUGGAUUCGCUAGUAAUCGCGCAUCAGCCACGGCGCGGUGAAUACGUUCCCGGGCCUUGUACACACCGCCCGU
rnacentral:rRNA from 1 species